rnacentral:misc_RNA from 1 species
CUGGGCUCGUGUAUUUCUUGAGCAAUUCUCUCUCAAUUGAGAAUUACUUUGGAUGUUUCUUCUCGUUGCCAAUAGUAAUCUCUUCAAUGAGAUGGGGUGUCGCAGCUGGGAGGAAAACAGUGGUGGCAACAGCUAUGCUUUUUUUGCCGGUCCAUUAAAAGCUUUAACAUAUCUGCUAACACAUGGUAUACUUGGUUUCACGAUGGGCUCUAUGUGGAGGUUGGGAGCAGAUUGGAGUCUUUCAAU